CAUCGGUGACAGGUGGUGCAUGGUUGUCGUCAGCUCGUGUCGUGAGAUGUUGGUUAAGUCCCGCAACGAGCGCAACCCCUAUUGUUAGUUGCCAUCAUUCAGUUGGGCACUCUAGCGAGACUGCCGGUAAUAAACCGGAGGAAGGUGGGAUGACGUCAAAUCAUCAUGCCCCUUAUGACCUGGGCUACACACGUGCUACAAUGGUUGGUACAACGAGUUGCGAGUCGGUGACGGCGAGCUAAUCUCUUAAAGCCAAUCUCAGUUCGGAUUGUAGGCUGCAACUCGCCUACAUGAAGUCGGAAUCGCUAGUAAUCGCGGAUCAGCACGCCGCGGUGAAUACGUUCCCGGGCCUU
rnacentral:rRNA from 1 species